rnacentral:rRNA from 1 species
AGGAAAGCAGGGAUGCAAGACUUGCGCUUUUGGAGCGGCCGAUGUCUGAUUAGCUAGUUGGUGAGGUAAAGGCUUACCAAGGCUUCGAUCAGUAGCUGGUCUGAGAGGACGACCAGCCACACUGGGACUGAGACACGGCCCAGACUCCUACGGGAGGCAGCAGUGGGGAAUUUUGGACAAUGGGGGAAACCCUGAUCCAGCCAUGCCGCGUGAGUGAAGAAGGCCUUCGGGUUGUAAAGCUCUUUCAGCCGGAACGAAAAGGUUACGGUUAAUACCCGUGACUAAUGACGGUACCGGAAGAAGAAGCACCGGCUAACUACGUGCCAGCAGCCGCGGUAAUACGUAGGGUGCGAGCGUUAAUCGGAAUUACUGGGCGUAAAGCGUGCGCAGGCGGUUUUGUAAGUCAGAUGUGAAAUCCCCGGGCUCAACCUGGGAACUGCGUUUGAAACUACAAAGCU